rnacentral:rRNA from 1 species
GAUGAACGCUAGCUACAGGCUUAACACAUGCAAGUCGAGGGGCAGCAUAAAUCUAGCAAUAGAUUUGAUGGCGACCGGCGCACGGGUGAGUAUCACGUAUCCAACCUACCUAUUACUCGGGUAUAGCCUUUCGAAAGAAAGAUUAAUCCCCGAUACGAUAUUGAGUUCGCAUGAAUUUGAUAUGAAAGAUUUAUUGGUAUUAGAUGGGGAUGCGUUCCAUUAGAUUGUUGGUGAGGUAACGGCUCACCAAGUCUUCGAUGGAUAGGGGUUCUGAGAGGAAGGCCCCCCACACUGGAACAGAGACACGGUCCAGACUCCUACGGGAGGCAGCAGUGAGGAAUAUUGGUCAAUGGGCGAGAGCCUGAACCAGCCAAGUAGCGUGAGGGAUGACUGCCCUAUGGGUUGUAAACCUCUUUUAUAAGGGAAUAAAACGCUCCACGAGUGGAGCUUUGCAUGUACCUUUUGAAUAAGGAUCGGCUAACUCCGUGCCAGCAGCCGCCGUAA